rnacentral:rRNA from 1 species
CACGUAGGAGGCGAGCGUUGUCCGGAAUCAUUGGGCGUAAAGAGCGCGCAGGCGGUCGUUCAAGUCGAGUGUGAAAGCCCCCGGCUCAACUGGGGAGGGUCAUUCGAUACUGAUCGACUUGAAGGCAGGAGAGGGAAGCGGAAUUCCCGGUGUAGUGGUGAAAUGCGUAGAUAUUGGGAAGAACACCUGAGGCGAAGGCGGGUUGCUGGGCCGACACUGACGCUGAUGCGCGAAAGCCAGGGGAGCGAACGGG